rnacentral:rRNA from 1 species
CACGUAGGGCGCAAGCGUUGUCCGGAAUUAUUGGGCGUAAAGAGCUCGUAGGCGGUCUGUUGCGUCCGCUGUGAAAACUCGGGGCUUAACCCCGAGCCUGCAGUGGAUACGGGCAGACUAGAGGUAGGUAGGGGAGAAUGGAAUUCCCGGUGUAGCGGUGAAAUGCGCAGAUAUCGGGAGGAGCACCAGUGGCGAAGGCGAUCACCUGGGGUUGUUCUGACGCUGAGGAGCGAAAGCUAGGGGAGCAAACGGG